AAGAAGAGACAAGUGGGCAGGCAGGCACUGGCUGGCUCAGGAGAGCUGGCCUCGGUGGUAUUGGAGGAGCUCCUUAUGGGGAAGGACGAGUGUUCUGCAGAAUGAAAGUGCCUUUUCCUCUCACCAGGAAUGCUGGGAUGUUUGGGUUACAGGAUUCUGAGAAGAAGAUGGAGCAUGGAGGUGCCAGGAUCAGAUGGGAGUGGUGUCAGGGAGGGGCCACAGAAUUAAUGAUCCUGGAUAUCUGAGUGGCCUAAGCCCCAGCUCUCUGCAGGGAAGGAGAGGAGCUGAGGAGAGGCCCAGGGCAUUCCAGGUGAUAGCAGAGCCUGUGACUGUAACUGGAUAUGCCCAAGAGGUGGGGUUCAGAGAGCAAGCAGGGAGCAGCAGAAGCAGCUCAGCAGGGGCCGCCCAAGGGAGCAUGGAGUGAGCAGAUUCUUUGUGCCUUCCGGUGGCCUUUCCCAGGUUCCCUCCUGUGGCUGUUGAACUCUGGAGAACCUUGAUCCUGGUGAGCAGAACUGGAGGCGCCUUGUGGGUGACCUCAAGCACUGCCCUGGGUGGGGACCGCCUGGCUGUCCUGGCUGGAAAGUGGAUGUGCACAAGCAUAACCCACGGACUCUUCAAGACAAGGUCGAUUUGGCCUGUUUCCCCUGCAUCAUACUUCCAUGGCUCUGUUUCUGCUGGACUCUUCCUGCAUUCAGAGAAUUGGGUCAGCAUUUUGGUUCAGUGUAGAAAAUAGCUUCAAAAUAGAGCUGUCCAACAGCAGAAGAGGGUGCAAGCAAAGGCCAAAUUCCUCCCUCCCUCCCUUCCUCUCCCCAUCCUUCCUGCCUGCCUGCCUGCCUGCCUUCUUUGCUUCCUUUCUUCUCUCUCUCUCCCCUCCUUCCUCCUUCCCUCUUUCUUUCUUUCUCUGACCACUACUUAGUUUAUUCAUUUAUUCAUCCAUUCAACAAAUACCUGCCUUGCAUGGCUGUAGAAAGGUUAUGUGGGAUGCAGCUUACCUUGCGAUCAGCCUCUCCUUCCCCUAUCUCCUAUAUGCAGGAAUCCCCAGCUGUUGUUGAAUGAAUGGACCCCCAUUUGCCAACUAUUCCAGCCGGGAUUCUUUGUGAUAAUUUGUAGAGAGCCUGAGCCAGGUUGGUCCCCAAGGGAUCUGGCUGGAAAGUUCCUGUGCAUGAUUCACAUGUCCCAAUCAGCUGUGAUUAAGCUUUCCUAUCUCCCUGAGAGCUUCAUGGAAAUCCAGAGAUAUUUUCAGCCUUGGAUCACAGGAUUUGGCUAGGCUGUGGUCUGGGCACAGAUAGCAGCUCACGAGAACAGCUCACCGGGGAGCCAUUUUCAGCCAGCUCUGCAGCUCUGCUCAUAUACCUUUCAUCAGGCUGCAUUUCCAUGAGAGUUUAAAGAUGGUGCAUUCACUGAAGAGUCUCCCUGCCUGGGAGAGAGGACGUCUGUGGGACACUCGGUGCAUGUUGCAUUUAUUCUUCUCAUUAAACCAUCACAGCUGGGUGGGUGGCUCACACCUGUACUCCCAGCACUUUGGGAGGCUAAGGCAGGAGGACUGCUUGUGUCCAGGAUUUUGAGACCAGCCGGAGUAUCAUAGCAAGACCUUACUUCUACAAAAAAAUUUAAAAAAAUUAGCUGGGUGUGGAGUCAUGCACCUGUAGCUGCAGCUACUCAGGAGGCUGAAGUGGGAGGAUCGCUUGAGCCCAAGAGGUCCAGGUUGCAGUGAGCCAUGAUUGUGCCUCUACACUCGAGCCUGGGUGACAGAGCGAGACCCUGUCUCAAAUAAACAAAUAAAUAAAUACCAUAACAGUGAAAUAUUAAUAGCUGUAAUGAAUUCUUUUACUUUUUUAGAUAUAGGGUCUCACUACAUUGCCUAGGUUGUUCUCAAACUUCUGGCCUCAAGCAGUCCUUCAGCCUCAUCCUCCCAUGUAGCUGGGACUACAGGUGUACACCAUCAUGCCUGGCUCAUUUUUAAAUUUUUUUUGUAGAGACAAGGUCUUGCUCUGUCACCCAGGCUCGAGUGCAGUAGCACAGUCAUAGCUUGCUGCAGCCUCUCUUGAGCCUAGGAGGGUCCCAAGCAUUUCUCCCACCUCAGCUUCCCAAGUAGGUGAGACUACAGGUGGGUGUCACUGCACUCAGCUAAUUUUUUAAUUUUUUUGUAGAGAUGAGGUCUUGCCAUCUUGCCUAGGCUGGUCUCACACUCCUGGACUUAAACAGUCCUCCCAUCUCAGCCUCCCAAAGUGCCAGGAUUAUAGGCAUGAGCCACCGCAGUGGGCCAUCUUGCAUGUUUCUAGCACGUUUACCUAUUUCAGUGGAUAUCAACCCUAGCUGCACAUUAGCAUCAAUCACCUGGGUAGAUUUGAUAAAUACACUUGCCCAGGAUUGGGGAAGGGAGCUGGGCACUGGCGUUUUGUUAAACCUUCCCAGGUGAUUUUGAUGCACAGGAAGGGUUGAGAACCAUUUGUUGUCUGGGGCUCAUCAAGGUCCUAUGCAUGGGGAUUAUCGGCCCCAUUUCACAGGUCAGGAGCAUGAGGCUUGAAGUUACUGAGAAGUUCUCAGGGCCACACACCUGAGGCCAAACAGCUGCUACAAAGUAGAGCUCGUAGUCAAUGCCAAAGAAGCUUAUUGCCUUUGGGGCAUCUAGAGACAAAAAAGCCUUGGCGUGACCCAAUAUCCCUGGGGCACCAGGAGCCAGAACAGCGUUUAGUGGGGUUUGGGCAUAUGAGUGGUGAAUGGCAUCAAAGCUCUGAGACUGAGGCUCGGAUGCAGGGGUCUCUAGGAUCCUGUGUAGUCUAGUGGAGCACUUCUCAAAGUGUAGUCCUUAGGCCAGAUGCAUGAGCAUCACUUGUGAACUUGUUAGAAAUGCAGAUUCUUCCCCACUGAAUCAGAAGCUCUGGAGGCCCAGAGAUCUGUAUUUUCACCUACCUUUCAAGUCAUCGUGAUGCAUGUUAAAGUUUGAGAACAACUGACUUGGUGAAACCAUCCUGGGACUUCAUAUCAAGUUAUCUGGAUUGAGUCCACUGUUAUUCUUGGCUUUGCCAAGCUCUUUGAUCUCUGAGUUUAGCUUUACUCCUCAGAAAGUUGGGGAAUCUAUGACUUUGUGAAAUGUCUUAUUAUAGAACUCCAUGCACAUGUUUAUUUGAGUUUACUUGGAAGGUAAACCCUGGUAAAAUCUGUUAAGUGUGUUUCAUGGGUACACUGCACUUGCAUCCAUGAAGUGCAGGGAGCUUCUUAGAGAUGCAGAAUUGCAGCUCCCAUCCCAGGCCUACUGAAUCAGGAUGUACAUUUUAAUAGGAUUCCCGAGGAACUUAUAUACUUCGAUGCACAUUUUAGUUUGAGAACUGCUGAACUAAAGAAUUUAGCAAAUAGUGAUUGUGCUGGGGGCUGCUUGCAGCAACCUGGGUCGAGGGCAUCCUUUGGCAUCUGGGACUGGCAUGAAGUGAUGGGAUCUGCCUGAGUGACUCAACUGCCCUACUUGUGUUUGUACAGCUCUCAGGCGACCAGGCCUUGGUGGGGAGCAGCUAGAAGUGUAGCUCUGGGGGUUUGCUGUCCCCUCUAUGCUUGCUAUCUAGGGCAGAGGCUGACUAGGCAGGGGAAAUGUGUAUGGCAGCAGAGCAGCCUGUGUAGCAGCCUUAGGAACCUCACCGCACAAGCCCAUACAUCCUCUGCUCUCCACCAGGGUCCGCACCAAGUUUGCAGGUUCAGCAGGCGGCAUCCUCCACUGUGGAACAGGAGAGCGAGGAGCUGGUAGCAUGCUCAUCCUGUCACCCUGGAAGGACCCAGACUAGAGCAGGAAGAAAGCCAGUUAUACAUGAUGCUGCAAGAGUCAGCGUGCACCUCCUGGAACGUGUGUGCCUGGGAAAAUAGCUGCCAGUUGUCAACAUGCAGCCUCAGCCUACCCAAGGCAGCUGGGCCUUCUUCCUGACACUUUGCAAAAGAGGGCAAGGACAGACUGUUGAGUUCAGCCAUGUGGUUGAGUCCUUCAGUGGAAGAAUGUCAGGCAGAUAAUUGAUCCCACAGGGGUCCUGUGAAUUAUGCAGUCCACCCCUGGGGUAUCAGUUCUGGAAAAAGAUGGUCCAUUUCCAAGUGUCAGUCAUGAAGGUAACUUCAUAAAAACUGUACUUUCAAAUAUAUAGCUUAUUUUCUUUGGAAUGCCCAAACUUAGUCUUUGGACUAAUGCCAGAAUCUUAAUCCUGAACACAUUCAGCAGUCCAUUUCUUGCUAUAUUAGGUAACAUAUAUAAAUGUGGCAAAAAAAAAAAAACAACUUGAUUUGAUCUCGACUCAACUAUUAACACUGUUAUUGAGUUUCUGUUGUUCAAAAUAGAAAUAAAGCAUUUUUAUGGCAAGAAAAGCAUGUUUAUUUGACUUAGGCCCCUUGAAAAUUGCCCAGUUGUGUAAGUAAACACUUAAAAACAAAGCAUUUGGGGGUAAGUUGCCAGAGGUGCUUGAUAAAUGCACGUGAGAAUGAAAUCUGAGAAUUGCUGGCUGGUUGUUUUUUGUAUCUUCACAGUGACUUUCCCACUAGAAACCUCAGCCUCCUUAGAUCUGUUAUCCCAGAUGUUUCUUUGGAGCCAGUUCAGUUCUUUCUCGUUGUUAAAUAUUUAUACAACCUGCCUGUUUUGCUUCGCUACAUGCAUAGCAUGGCUGAUGCUGCUGAACUGUUUGUGUUUUUUUCUCAUAUUUUAUGUUGAAAGAUAUUCCAUGAAUCUGGACAGAUUUCCAGCCCAGGCUGUUGGGUUCAUUAUCACUCUUGUGUCACAGCAGAUAAAGGAGUCAGAGUGGUGCUUUUGCACACGUUGCUGACUCUGGCUGGAAGGCUGGCCUCCCUGCACACAGUGAGCUCCACCAGCCGUGUGUGCUGAGGAGUGGUGGUGGGGAUGGGGGGCGGUGCAUAGGGGUGUAGGGAGGCAGCGGGGGAGUGGAAGAAUCCCUGUACUUGGAGUCAGAUGAACCUGGUGACAGUUACAGUCCAUGGCCUUUACCUUGGGUGAAUGACUUAACCUCCCUGAGCCUCAGUUUUCUCGCUUGUAAAUGCAAACAAUAACGCAUCUCCUACAAAACUGCUUUGAAGCAGGCAUUCAAUGACAUAUGGGAUAGUAUUAAUGAUAGUGUUUGGGAAUUGUAGAGAGUUCAUUCAUUUGUUUUAAUAACUGCAAAUUCCAUUUAAACACUACUAUAGAUCAGUGGUUUCCCAAACUUUCCAUCUUGCCCUGCUUUAUUUGUCUUCUUAGCUCUCUAAAAUGUGUCUUAGGAUUUUGGUACUGUUGACAAGGGAAGAUGGGUAGGCCCUGAUCUUUGUUAGUUUUGCCCCUUUACAAAAGUGUGACAUGUGCUUGAGAAUCCCCAUUGCAGGCUCAGGUAGAGGAGAGGGAAGAAAAGAGGCACUUACUUUUUUCUUUCUCUUUGUUCUAUUCAUUCAUCCAUUCAUCCAGCAUGUAUUUAGUGAGUACUAACUAACUUGGUGCAAGACACUGUACUAAGUGCUGGGGAUCUAGUGAUGAAUAAAACCCAUGUGGCCUGGCUCUUGUGGAGUUUACAGUUCAGUGGGGAAAAGAGACACCAAAGAGAUAAUCACAUCUAACACACUGUGGUAGGUGUUGUGGAGGAAAAGGCCAGGAGGGCAACAAGAACAAACAAUACAGAAUGGGACAUGUCUGGGCAGGUUGGAGAAUGCCCCUGUGAGUGACUGAUGCCUGGUGAGAUCUAAUAAGGAAGCAGAAGGCAGCCAGGUGAGGAGAUGGUGAAGCGUGGGGAGAGGGGAUGCUGACUCCAAGACCAAUUGCAGGCCACUGAGGAUUUUAACCAGUAGAGGCCCAUGAACCAUGUUAGAUGUGAGAUGCUCACUCUGGUGACAGAGUGGAGAACAUGUCAUAGGACAACCAGACAGGUUUGGGGUAUUCAAGGUUAGGAGGAUGCUAGAGUUAUCUAUGCGAGGGCUGAUGCAGGCUUGGGUUGGGGAGGAGUAUAGUUUCCUCUGGCUGCCGUAGUACAUUACUACAAACUGGGCAGCUUAAAACAAUGGGAAUGUGUUAUCUUGCCGUUCUGGAGGUCAGAAGUCCAAAAUCAAGGUGUCAGCAGCCAGGUCAGUUAUUUCUGGAGGCUGUGAGGAAGAACCUGUUCCAUGGCUGUCUCCUAGCUCUGGUGGUAGCUGACAGUCCUUGCCAUUCCUUGUAGACACAUCGGUCCAAUCUCUGUCUCCAUCAUAAGGUGGCAUUUUCCCUUUGUGUCUCUGGGUCCAAAUUUCCCUCUUCUAAGAAUACCAGUCUGUUGGAUUAGGGCCCACCUUAAUCUGGUAUGACCUCAUUUUAACUUGAUUCUAUCUACAAAGACUUUCUUUCCAAAUAAGGUCACAUAUGCAAGUUCUGAGUGGACAUGAAUUUUGGGCAGGGGGUGGUUGGAGACACUGUAAAACCCAGUAUAGAUUGUAACAGUGGAGAUGGAGGGAAGUGGUUAACUUCACCAGAUAUGUAGGCAGUGAAACCAACAAGGGGAGUUGAUCCACUCACUCUAGUCCUUUACCCAAAUAGUGUUUUAAAAAAGCUGAUAUCCAGGGUCAUUGGUGGCCUCGUUGGUGCCUCUUCUCAUUGUCAGAUCUCUUCUACUAGAAGCAAGUUUAACUGCGGGGAGGACAGGAGGCACCUCCUCAGCAUCCCUGACUUGUCGUGUUGAGUCAAGCCACAAAAUCCACUGCUUCCUUUGAUGUUUAUGCAUUCACUGAUGGAUCCCUUUGGACCCACAAGCCUAUUUUUGUAGAUCAACUUGGGUGCAAUGCAGAAUGUGCUCAUUGUGCCCUGCUGGGGGAUAGGAAUACUCACUGGUGUUAAUUUUUUAUAAUUGCUAAUCACCUAUGCAGUGAGUCAGCAGAGGUACAGCCCUAGGAAUGGUCUUCUAGGCUGUGGGUGGUGUGGGAUUUGAUUUGCCCCACCAUGUAGGCAUGGAGCCCAUUCAGAUGUGAACGUGGUUACAGGUUGAGCCUUGCUGUAUCGAUUCCUCUGCUUCACUUUCCUGCUCUAUUCCUCUUCAUUUCCUUCCAGAUGGGGCUACUGAUGCUCACCACUCAUCCAUCUGGAGUAGGCUGAAGCUACCCUAGGUGGGACAGAGCAGCACUUCCCCCUCUUCCUCUCCACACCUCCCUGAUAUGGCAGGGCUUGGAAUUCAGUCGCCGUGCAGACCCAGGCAGGCAGUUGAAUUCCUCCAGGCUGCCCCUUGCUGUACUUCUCCCUGCUUCUCAUACCACCCAGCCCUGAGCCCGGGCUUCCAUCUCUCUUCGCCUGCCUUUGUCCUGACCUGAUUCAUCCUCUCAUGCCUGAGUCCUGCCCACCUCCCCGUGCCUUGGGUCAGACCUGCCCCUUCAUGUUGUCCAUGCGCACAGCAGCAGAGCUGGGCACAAUCCAGAGCCGAGGUCAGGGCUGUUUUUGCUGAGAGCAGUGGCAGGUCGCCACACUGAGGGUGGGUUCAGAUGGGGCGCGUGGAGGGGUCAAGUCCAGGAACUGAUGCAGGAGAGGGUGCAGGGAGAUGGGCCAGAAUGUCUGAGUGGGGAACAAGCCAUGCACAUCCAGGAGUUGAGAAGUUUGGCCCCCAGCUCAGGACAUAGUCUGUGACUGACACCUGGCCCGCUCAGGCCUGGCUCUGACAGCCUGCAAGGUACGGGCUCAGUUUCCAGAUGUUGGACUUAGAUAGCUGGUACUUGACCAUUGUGCCUACAUUUCCAGAAGCUUCCUUUAUAAUCGGACCCUGAAACCAGACCAGGGCACCUGCCCCUCACCAGUCUCCUUCGUCUUCUGGACCUUGUCUUCUAGGUAUGCAGACCUCCCAUGCUUUGUUCAUGGCAACAACUUCUUAGGGAAGGGAUCUAAAACAGAAGCCAACCUGGGCAUUGCAAGACCGGAAGAGGAGGCUUGCCCAGUAAUGUCACUGAAUGACUGGAUUUUCCAUGCAUGAUGCCAGGACUCCACUCCAUUUCUGUGAACUCGACUGUACCAUAGUGAAGUUCAGACAUCUGUCUUUCAAAAGCUACCCUGAUGAUUCCAGUGUGGACCAACUACUGCUCCCCAAUGCGACCCCUGCCAACAAACCCCACGCAUAAAUAAAAUAAAAUAAAAUAAUACAACCUAAUUUGUCCUUUAUCUAGGAGAUAAAUUUCAGGAAGAUAGUUUCUUAAUUUACUACCACCGAAAACCAAAAUGUUAAAAAUGUAGUCAUCAACACAACUGAAAAAUGUGCAGCACUUAGCAUUCUAAGUCCUCUUUGAAAGAGUCUUGAUUUCCUAAUGAAGUAUCUUUUAUCCUAACUUUGAUGUUCAGGAAGCCAAUCGACAAAUACUUUUUUCUUCCUUCUAUAACAGGAAACUACAACAGAAAUAACCUAGAAGUAGUAUUUUUUUAGGCAGAUAUAAUUACUUUGAGUUACUUUGGGAUGUUUGAAAAGACGAAUUGAAUCAUUGCUUCUUGCUGGUAUGAUUUAGAUUUCAGUAAUCAUCUCACGUGAUAGUCAUAUUUUGUAAUACUUUGGUUAAAAAUAGCUUUGUUGCAAAAACUCCAGUGUGAUAAAGAAAAUAAAAUAGUUUCCUUUAGCUUCACCAAAGACAGACACAUUUCCCUCUGAAAUGUCAUGACUCAUGCCACAUGGCUAAAUAAAAGUGCACGUAUAGCACUGAUCUUUCCUGUUUAUUGCUUUUUUAGUAGAAGCUAAUUGAGGAAAACAUCUGCAUCCAGUUUUCCCUUUAUUUUUGUAGAUUCUUUUCUUCUACUCCAACGCAAAGCCUCCCUGGACAGUCAUUUGCUCAGGCAGUGAUCUGAUAGAUGGCUUUCAGUUUUCUCCUUUUGGGUGAUGACAUAAAUUACUCUGCAAUGAGCUAUUUACAAUGCCACUCUUUAACCUUGAGCUGAGCGCACACGUUCUAAGGACCUGAACUCACAAGAGCUCGGCAUCAUGAGGGUCACACAGGCUGACUCUUCUCUCAGUUCUACAGCUCUCUCCAUAAUAGGCCUGUGAAGUGGCCACUGGCUUCUUUUUGAACACCUGCAGUGGCAGAGCUGGCCACCUCAGAAGAUAGCCCUUUCUACACUGGAACAGUGCACUUGUACUCAGUUUGAAGUUAUCCCCAGUAACCCUUGCCAUCGUCUUAGCACAGCCCACAUUGCUUGCUAGGGCUGGGAAUUGGCAGAUGGGUGGACUCACCGACAGCCAUGGUGGGGGGUUAAGAGCAUGGACUUUCUGCCUGGGUUUGAGUCUUCGUUUCCCCGCUGACCAGUUGGGUGAUCUUGGACAGGGUACAGGGAUCCUCCCUGAGCCUCCAGUUCCUCAUCAGUGUUGGUGUGAGGAUGGUGCCCAAGACAGUGCCUGGCGUGGUCUGGGUACUCAGUAAAUGCUUGUCAUCUUUUUUUUUCCCCCAACCGUAGGCAGCUUUGUCUUGGGAGGUAUUCUCAGUCCCUACCUAGUCAGGGAUUCGUGCACACACUUUUGUAAGCACUCCCAGGAGAAAGUGGUGAGAGAGAGAAGCUGGAUAGGUCAGGACAGGUCAGAAGAGAAGCCAGGCAAAGAUGUGAUUCUGGGGAGUCUAGCUUCAACCUGAUCUGCAGGGACAAAGCCUGGGAGAGUAAGUUGCACAGAGUCAGUCCCUCUUUGAGGCAAGGGUGUGGGGUUUUGCAGUCCCUCUUUGAGGCAAAUAAGUCACUGGUCGCAGGCCUUGAGGGGUGGGUGUAACUCCUAGAUAACUUCAGUCCAGGCGGCUUCAAGGAGAAGGCUCUGGAGAAGAUGCAGGUGUGAGCCAUCAGCUGAAGAACCUGCAGCAGCUAGGAGAGGACCCAGCAGUCAAAUUGGUGCGUGAGAUCCAGGGUAUCUGGGCGGGACAUCCGCAGUGUCUACUGAAGCCCACGGAAGAAAGCCUGUUGGUGGAGCUGGCUGCAGGCUGGCCACCAGAGCAGCUGAGGUUUACCCAAAAUAACCUGACAAUGCAAAGAGCCCCUCCAUGUGGAUGCAGACCCCGCCCCACAGUCCCGUCUCCCCUCGGGGCUGCCCACAGCCUGGCCCAAGACUGAGGCCAGCAACUAGGGCUUGGCCACCAGGUCUUCACAGAUGAAGGGGAAACCUCUUUAUGGGAGGCAAAUUGCAUAUCUUAGUUUAAGUCAACAGAUAGUUAUCAGCACAAGUCACUGCACUAGAAACGGAAGAUGCAGCAAUGCAUGAAACUGUGGUCACCAUGCAUCAUGGAGCUUUACCCCAGGAAAUGGACAAACAGGCAGUUAUAUAAUGAAUAUAGAGUCAAAUUGGUGGCAUGUUCUAAAGAAAAAGAACAGGAGGCUAUGGGACAGGGGCAGGGGACCCUAAUUUACACGUUAGAGGUGGUGGGGAGAGUGGAGCAGGGAAAGGCCUCUGAGGAAAUGACUAUAAAGCUGAAAAUGGAAGGACAUGAAUGGGAAUUAGCAAUUUGUGAGGUGGUAGGGGGAGUGAGGUCAAGAACUUUCCCAGCCAUGGGAAUAGCAUAGCAUGUGAAAAGGCUCUGGGGCAGGGAAGGUAUUGGUGGCUCUGGGGAAGUGAGGAAGGCCAUUGUAUUAGUUAGUUUUCACGCUGCUGAUAAAGACAUACCUGAGACUGGGAAGAAAAAGAGGUUUCAUGGCCUUACAGUUCCACAUGGCUGGGGAGGCCUCACAAUCAUGGCAGAAGGCAAGGAGGAACAAGUCACGACUUACAUGGAUGGUGGCAGGCAAAAAGGGAAGUGCUUGUGUGGGGAACCCCUUUUUAUUACCAUCAGAUCUUGUGAGACUUAUUCACUAUCACGAGAACAGCACGUGAAAGACCUGCUCCCAUGAUUCAAUUACCUCCCACCGGAUCCCUUCAACGACAUGUGGGAAUUCAAGAUGAGAUUUGAGUGGGGACACAGCCAAGCCAUAUCCCUUGCAGUGAGAUGAGGGGGAAACGUCAGGCCAGGGACAGCCACAGAGAACCAUUAUGCACUUGGAAUUUACUGUUAGUGCAAGAAGCAGUCCCUGAAAGCAUGUUAACAUGAUCCAAUUUGCAUUUUUAUAUAGAAAGACUGUUCUGGUUGCUGGAAGGGAAAUGGAUAUUUUGGGGAGUGAGGUUGGGAGGAUCCAAGAAGAGAAGAAAUUAAUAUUUACAUACUGUGUAAAGUGACUUCACAAAUACAUCUCAUUUACUUCUCAGGACAGGCCUUUUUUUUUUUUUUUUUUUUUUUUUAAGUAUAGGCAUAUUCAGUUGUUCCAGCACCUUUGGUUUUUUGGUGAUUUUUUGCUUUGUUUUGCUUUUUAAUCUCUUGGCUGAAUCACAGUACCUUCACUGAAAAGACAAUUCUUUCUCUACUGAAUUGCCUUUGCACACCAAUUAUAUCUACACAGGUGUACGUCUAUUUCUGGACUCUGUGCUAUUCUGUUUAUGCAGAGUGUCCUUCUUUCUUUCUUUCUUUCUUUUUUUUUCUAGACAGGGUCUUCUUUGGUUGCCCAGGCUGGAGUGCAGUGGCACCAUCACAGCUCACAGCGGCCUUGCCCUUCCAGGCUGAAGUGAUCUUCCCACCUUAGCCUCCUGAGUAAUUGGGACUACAGCCAUGCGCCACCACGUCUGGCUAAUUUUUUUAUUCUUUGUAGAGAAAAGGUCUGGUGUUGCCCAGGCUGAUUUCAAACUCCUAGGCUCAAGCCAUCCUCCUGCCUCAGCCUCCCAAAAUGCUGGGAUUAUGGGCAUGAGCCACCAUGCCUGGCUCAGUGUCUUGAUUACUACAGCUUUAUCAUCUUCAAAUCAGAUAAUGUUAGUCCUCCAACUUUGUUCCUCUUUUCCAGUCUCUCGGGGUCCUUCACUACCUGAUGUCCAAUGUGUAAGAACUAUUCUAUAGAUUUUACUGGGUGCUUGAUGGUUUCAGAAGGGAAGGUCAGUCUGGCUCCUGUUACUUGGUUGGAAGCAGAGGUCCUUAUGAUAAUUUCUUUGAAUGCCUCUUCUCUGUCUCCUCUGUCAGCUCAGUUCUCAAAUUCCUGUGAUGGAUUGCCUGACUCUCUUAUCUAGGAAUCUUAGCCUUUUGCAUAUUAUAUUUACCUCCUUUCCCUUUUGUUUUGUGUGUGUGUUUGUGAGUGUGUAUGUGUGUGUGUGUGACCUCGGAGAAUUUCCAAAGGUUUCUUUUAAUUCAUUGAUUCAGUUUUUAGCAGUAUCACUAUUUAUUGCCUCCAUUUGGGUAUUCAUUUCUGAAAUCAUGUUUUUCAUCUAAAAGCAAUCUUUCUUGGUCCGAGGUUAUUUUCUUUUUAUUAUGAAAGAUUUUCUCAAAUAUUGCUGAGACUUAAUGUUUCAACAUAUUGUGUUCUUUCUGUUUCUUGGUGUCUUAAUCUGUUUACUGCUGCUAUAACAGAAUACCACAGACUGAUUAAUUUAUAAUGAACAGAAACUUAUUUGGCUUACAGUUCUGGAAACUGGGAAGUCCAAGACCAUGGUUCUGACAUCUGGCAGGGGCCCUCGUGCUGUGUCAUCCCAUGGUGGAAGGCAAAAGACUGAGAGAGCAAAAGCAAGAGAGAACGAGACAGAGAGCGGAAAGCAAGAAGGGCCAAGCUUGCUUUUAUAACAAACCCAUCCCUACAAUCAUGACAUUAAACUAUUCAUGAGGGCUCUGCCCUCCUGAGGCCUUAUGACUUGAUCACCUCUUAAAGGUCUUACCUCACAACACUCUUGCAUUGGGGAUUAAGUUUCCAAUACAUGAGCUUUGGAGGACACAUUCAAACCACAGCAAGUGGCGGGGGGUGGGGGUGGGGGAUUUGUUCUGAUUUUUCCUGAAUUGUGUACAGCUAUCUGGGAGCUGCAGCCGAGGCAGCCCUGUACCUUGGUCACCAUUACCUGAAGUUAGUAGGGCCAUGCCCACUCCUUUACAUGAAAUGCUGCCUCUCAGAAGCAGGCUGUGGCAGCUUUUCUUCCUCUUUAUGUGGCAGGUUGUUUGCUUUAAGUCAGGGUGAUAUGAGGGGGCUCUGCCUCUGGCCUCACUGUGAUUAUACCCUAGGUCACUUGUCUUCUGCUUCCUGAUUUCCUGUUCUCUCUCUCCUGCUUGGAGUUUGGAAACUUCUAGUAGGGAACUCUUUCACUUUCUUCCCAGGCAGUUUGUUUCCUCAUAUUGGUUGAACCAUGAUGAUAUAGUUGGAAUGGUUGUCCCCUCCAAAUCUCAUGUUGAAAUUUGAUCCCUAAUGUUGGAGAUGGGGCCUGGUGGGAGAUAUUCGGAUCAUGAGGGCAGAUCCCUCACUAAUGGCCUGGUGCCCUCCCUGUGGAAAUGAGUAAGUUCUCACUCUUUUGGUUCACCUGAGAGCUGUUUGUUUAAAAGAGCAUGGCACCCCUCCUUCUCUCUCUGUCUUGCUCCUUUUCUUGCCAUGUGACACUCCUGCUCCCUCUUUGCUUCUGCCAUGAUGCUUCCUGGAGUCCUCACCAGAAGCAGAUGCUGGCACCAUGCUUCUUAUACAGCUUGCAGAACCAUGAACCCAAUAAACUUCUUUUCUUUGCAAAUUA